rnacentral:rRNA from 1 species
AUACGGAGGACGCGAGCGUUAUCCGGAUUCAUUGGGUUUAAAGGGUGCGCAGGCGGCCGUGCAAGUCAGCGGUGAAAGCCCGGGGCUCAACCCCGGAAGUGCCGUUGAUACUGCAUGGCUGGAAUGCGGUCGAGGCGGGCGGGACGGGGCGGGUAGGGGGGAAAAGCGUAGAUAUGCCACAGAACGCCGAUAGCGGAGGCAGCUCGCCAGGCCUGCAUUGACGCUCGGGCACGAAAGCGUGGGGAUCGAACAGGAUUAGAUACCCUGGUAGUCCACGCCGUAAACGAUGGGCGCUCGUCGUCGGCGGCAGACAGUCGGCGGCCAAGCGAAAGCGAUAAGCGCCCCACCUGGGGAGUACGGUCGCAAGGCUGAAACUCAAAUGAAUUGACGGGG